CUGUUUGGAAUAUUGAUGGUUCAUUAAAUGAUUUCAAUGUGUAUCCACUUUCUGACAGUGGUAAAUCUGGGGUUGAAACAGAUUUCAAGGAUUAUGUUGAGAGUCUUGAUGCAGGACUAAUUGUUGCUAUUGCUGUAUAUGGUGAUCUUGGUGUUACUAAAGUACCAGGAAGGAACUGGGAAGAUGUAUAUUCUAGUAUAGAGCAACUUGGUGGAUUAGCCGCUACCACAAGUCAAAUACGAAACAUCGAUGGAAAAGAAGCAUACGCGUUUAUAACAAUGAAAGGCGAUGCUACGUCAACUUCCGAAGAAUAUAUCGAUGCUCCAUUUUAUGUGAAUGUUACAAGAACAUCGAUACAAAAAUUUGUUCACCAGGGAAAGGCUUUAGAAUUUAGAACUAGAAGUCAAGUUAAGGCCAAAAACACAGUUCCUGACAUUAACCAAGUAGAUUUUGAGGUUCUGACGACUGAAGUUUCUCAACCAAUAAUAACUGUUCGAGAUGAUGUAUCUUCUUGGAACCCAGGCGAUGAAAUUAUUGUGACAUCAACAGAUUUUGACUGGAGACAAGUGGAGCAGUUUAAGAUAUUAGUUUGUCCAGAUUGUUCAAAUAAUCAAAUUAAAUUAGACGGCGCUUUCCAGUAUCCCCAUUAUGGUAAGAUCACUCAUGGCGUCGAUGAAAGAGCAGAAGUUGCUUUAUUAACAAGGAAUAUUAAAAUAGAAGGCGAACUACAACCAAAAUGUUACGAUAAUGGUGAUCCUAAAGCAGCUUUGUUAUGUGAACGUUAUA